CGGACGGGUGAGUAACGCGUGGGUAACCUGCCUUGCACUGGGGGAUAACACUUAGAAAUAGGUGCUAAUACCGCAUAAGCGCACAGCUUCGCAUGAAGCGGUGUGAAAAACUCUGGUGGUAUACGAUGGUUCCGCGUCUGAUUAGCUAGUUGGUGGGGUAAUGGCCUACCAAGGCAACGAUCAGUAGCCGGCCUGAGAGGGUGAACGGCCACAUUGGGACUGAGACACGGCCCAAACUCCUACGGGAGGCAGCAG
rnacentral:rRNA from 1 species